CGAGCGCACCCUUGUCCUCAGUUACCAGCACGUUAUGGUGGGCACUCUGGGGAGACUGCCGGUGACAAACCGGAAGAAGGUGGGGACGACGUCAAGUCAUCAUGGCCCUUACGGCCAGGGCUACACACGUGCUACAAUGGUGCAUACAGACGGUUGCCAAGCCGCAAGGUGGGGCUAAUCUGAGAAAGUGCAUCGUAGUCCGGAUUGGGGUCUGCAACUCGACCCCAUGAAGUCGGAAUCGCUAGUAAUCGUGAAUCAGAAUGUCACGGUGAAUACGUUCCCGGGCCUU
rnacentral:rRNA from 1 species